rnacentral:piRNA from 1 species
UNCGCACACUGGCUGCCAGCGAUGUUAC